GAAAUUUGAGACAACACGGAUCAAUGCAGUAACACUUAUGUGGAGCGUGAUGCAAGCCAAACCUUGCUCUGAAUACCAAUUGAUAGCAUCAACCUUGGUGCUAUGUGUCAGAUCCGUGAGUUUCAGAUGAGGAAAACAGUAGCAGCGGAUGAAAAGCAGAGGAAAUGAGGUUCUGCAGCAAUGAUGUUGAUGAGUGGACGGUGAGAUGCAGAGGUAAGGAAGUUAUGCAUUUACGGUGCUAAUCCACAAAUACGUAAGUGAUGAUUAUGAGCAGUAGUAGCAAAGGAAGUAAGUGGUAGAUGGAAACGUGAUGGUGCUCGGUGAGGUGAAUGAGGUGCUUUGGUGAUAUGGAUCUAACUCAGAAGGCCUUCUCCUUGGAAGGAAGCUAGAGGAGAAAUGGAAGGAAGCACAAGGUUGUUGACUCUUGGUGGAGAAAAGGCUGGAAAGUACAUUAACAUUUCAAUUCUCUCUAAUUCCAAAAGUGAAUACAUGGUGCAGCCAAGGUGAGUUUUAUAGACUCCUCAUCCUUUGGCCGUUGAUGGAAACGUGCUCAUCCAAGAUGGAUCACGUUCCACGUUUCUAAACAUGUGCUAAAUGUGCUAAGCUUCUAGAAGCCUACAUGUAUUACACGUUUACAAUAUGAGGAGCAUGUGACAACAUUUAUAAUGUGCAAAGGAUUUCUGGUGCACCCCCUUGUCAUGCUAAGCUCACCCC
rnacentral:lncRNA from 1 species